rnacentral:rRNA from 1 species
GGUCCAGACUCCUACGGGAGGCAGCAGUGAGGAAUAUUGGUCAAUGGGCUUACGCCUGAACCAGCCAAGUCGCGUGAGGGAAGACUGCCCUAUGGGUUGUAAACCUCUUUUGUCAGGGAGCAAUUGGCGCUACGUGUAGCGUUAUCGAGAGUACCUGAAGAAAAAGCAUCGGCUAACUCCGUGCCGGCAGCCGCGGUAAUACGGAGGAUGCGAGCGUUAUCCGGAUUCAUUGGGCGUAAAGCGCGCGUAGGCGGCCUGUUAGGUCGGGGGUCAAAUGCCGGGGCUCAACCCCGGUCCGCCCCCGAUACCGGCAGGCUUGAGUCUGGUAGGGGAAGGCGGAAUUCCCAGUGUAGCGGUGGAAUGCGCAGAUAUUGGGAAGAACACCGGCGGCGAAGGCGGCCUUCUGGGCCACGACUGACGCUGAGGCGCGAAAGCUAGGGGAGCGAACAGGAUUAGAUACCCUCGUA